AUUUUUUUCUUAUAUCUCGGAGUUUCUAUCAAAAUGUAAAAGAAGUAGAAAUUCAAAACAGCUAUAGAUCUGACCAUUCACCAAUAGUUCUACAUUUUAAAAUAAGUGAUUUCAAUAUUGGGAAGGGUUUGUGGAAAUUUAAUAAUAGUUUAUUAUAUGAUAUAGAAUAUGUUAAAUCUGUUAAAGAAAAAAUAAAACAAGUAAAAGAUCAAUAUGCAACUUUAGUAUACAAUAGAGACUCACUAGACCAGAUUGAUUGCUUAGAUAUUCAAUUUACAAUAAAUGAUCAGCUGUUCUUAGAAACAUUAAUGACAGAAAUUAGGGGUAAAACAAUUUCCUUUGCAUCAUAUAAAAAAGAAAGAAAAAAAUAAAUUGGAAAAUGCUUUAGUAAAUGAAAUUCAAAAAUUAGAAGAAAAUAUACAAACCACAGAAGCUCUUGAAGAUCUCAACCAAAAGAAAUCUAAAUUACAAAUUUUAAGACAAGAAAAAAUGCGUGGUCAUUAUGUUCGCUCAAAAAUGCAAUGGAUAGAAGAAGGAGAAAGAUCCUCAAAAUAUUUUCUCAACUUAGAAACUAAGAACUUUGUUAAUAAAACAAUUCCAAGACUAGUCAAUAAUGAAGGCUGUUUAAUAAACAAACAAGAACAUAUUUUAUUGGAAGCUAAAAACUUUUAUAAAAAUUUAUAUUCAAAGAAAGAUACAAUAAAUAGUGUUGAUCUCAAUAAGGAAAUUCCAUUUUUAGACGUUCCCAAGUUAACAAAUGAAAUAAGGGAUACCCUUGAGGGAAAAAUCUCCUAUUCAGAAUUAACAGCUGCUAUUAAAAGAAUGAAAAGUAACAAAAGCCCAGGAUCUGAUGGAUACACCAGUGAGUUUUUUAAAUUCUUUUGGAUAGAUUUAGGUAAAUUUGUUCUUAGAUCAAUCAACUAUGGGUAUAAUAUGGGUGAAAUGUCAGUAUCCCAAAAAAGAGGGAUAAUUACUUGUAUACCAAAGGGAGAUAAACCAAGACAAUAUAUGAAAAACUGGCGACCAAUAAGUCUUUUAAACACAAUAUAUAAACUCGGGUCUAGCUGUAUAGCAGAGCGUUUGAAGUCUAUUUUAUCACUUCUAAUAAAUAAUGAUCAAACAGGGUUCAUUCCUGGAAGAUAUAUUGGUGAAAAUACUAGACUAAUUUAUGAUAUUUUAUUGUAUACA
rnacentral:lncRNA from 1 species